rnacentral:snRNA from 2 species
AUACUUAUUUGGGGUCGGGGUGUCUGCGAUCAAGGAGGCAGAGCCCCCAGGGCGAGGUGCGGCCAUUGCACUUCGGUCGUGUUGACCCCUGCCACUUUCUCAAACUGAGAUAGUGAUGGGGCACGAAAUUUUUUUUAUUCACGC